CAAGAUUUCUUCCGCAACCAAAGUAUGUUUGUCCUCUUUCAUAUUACUCCAGAAUAGAACCCCUUGUGUUACUGGUUUUAUCUUUUUAUUUUUGGUCUUGAACUCUAUGCAUGGUAUGCAAGAGUGUAAGAAGUGAAAUGGAGAGAUGAAUGGUUGCCUUAGUAAAAAGUGAAGUGACUUGAGCAUAACAAUGAAACUGUGAAUUUGAAGUCUUAACAUGCUGUGUGAUGGACAUUGGGCCAGCUUUUGUUUACUUGUGGUCUUAGUGAAAUGGAGAGAUGAAUGAUUGCCUCAGUAAAUAUUGAUCUAACGUGUGAUUAGUAUCAGUUGUCUGGCGAGUGUGCUUAUUCUCCAUUUUGUGAUACGUUGUGACCUAUUGCAUCGAUAGAUUCUUUCAAGAAUUCAAGUAGUAUUAGUUGGGAUAUUAUUCUGUGCAUUUAUGGGUUGAUUGAAUUUUUUAAGAUACUUGUCUUUCCCAUAUCAUGAGUUCAUGGGGACAUUAGGGAUGAUUUCUACAACUCAAUGCUACUGUAUCAUUUUCUGUGUAGGAUGAAAACUGGAGCUCCUGUGUUCUCUCUCUCUGUCUCUCUCGUGUCUGCAGUCUCAUUUCCAAAUUAUUAUGGCUAUUGAAGCAAUGUACUAGGGCUUAUUGAGUUUGGUGGACAUCAGUUCCCAAAUUCUUUUUCUGAUUAGUAUAUUAAUUCAGUUCUUGAAAUUGUGGUCUCUUACCCUUGUGCAUACCCUAUGCUUCUGCAUCGCAACUAGUUGUUCAUAUGAGUGAUAUUAAUUAUGAACUUCUUUUGUACAAUAAUCAGAACAUUUAAUGAAUCUGGUGGUGGUGUUAUAGUUAUUUUCGGAUUGUUUAAAAUUUAAAACAAAUCAUAAUAUCUAUAGUAUUGUUUCAGGGGACAGGCACAAGCUGCUGCAAGAGGCGGUCGUGGAGGAGGCAGAGGUGGGGGCCGUGGAGGUGGUGGCUUUCGUGGAAGGGGUGGUCCAAGAGGUGGCCGUGGUGGGCCUGCUAGAGGAGGUGGCCGUGGUGGUGGCUUUAGGGGCAGAGGUAGAUGAUAGAAGAACUUCGUGUGACAUUAUUGGUGCUUUUCUCUUUGGAAAUUUUCAUUUUAAAGUGCAAUGGACAAACAACAAUCAAUAUUUGGAUACUAAUCUGAACUUUGUUGUUAAUGAAGUGAUUUUUGUUGCUCUGUUGGGUAUAUUUCUAACCUCUAAAUGUUCAAUGAUCAAUUGUUCAACCUUCUUUAGGGUUUCUA
rnacentral:misc_RNA from 1 species